rnacentral:lncRNA from 1 species
GCAUUUAACAAUGACUACAAAACGAAGUUUGUUUGUGCGGUUGGUACCAUGUCGCUGUCUACGAGGGGAAGAGGAGACAGUCACUACUCUAGAUUAUUCUCAUUGCAGCUUGGAACAAGUUCCCAAAGAGAUUUUCACCUUUGAAAAAACUUUAGAGGAGCUCUAUUUAGAUGCUAAUCAGAUUGAAGAGCUUCCAAAGCAACUUUUUAAUUGUCAGUCUCUACAUAAACUAAGUUUGCCAGACAAUGAUUUAACAACAUUACCAGCUUCCAUUGCAAAUCUGAUUAAUCUCAGGGAACUGGAUGUCAGCAAAAAUGGAAUACAAGAAUUUCCAGAAAAUAUUAAAAAUUGUAAAGUUUUGACAGUUGUGGAGGCCAGUGUAAACCCUAUUUCUAAGCUCCCUGAUGGGUUUUCUCAGCUGCUAAACCUAACCCAGUUAUAUCUGAAUGAUGCUUUCCUUGAAUUCUUACCAGCUAAUUUUGGCAGAUUAACUAAACUCCAGAUACUAGAACUUAGAGAAAAUCAGUUGAAAAUGUUGCCUAAGUAAGUCAGUGUGUGGCUUUUCCAAAUCCAGUUAAGACUUUUUCAUUUUA